ensembl:lncRNA
CCGAAAAGCCCGCCCUAUACGCCGGCCGGGAAUCCCGACUCUGCGGAUGCCUGCAGCUCGCUCCCUGCUGCCAGAAGCCCACCCGACGGGAAUGCAGGGAGGGACCGUACGCGGGUACCGGGCAGGGCAGGGUAGUCUAGCAGGGGAUGGUGUCUUUGCAACCUCCGCGGACGGCGCCCCUUUGCAGGCACAGCCCGCUGUCUGAACGAAAAAAAAAAAAAAAACACCUGAGGACCAUCAUCUCCUCCUUUCCUGCUUCAAGAGGAAAGGAAAAGCCUGAUGGCCUGCUCGCUCGGAGUGUUGCCUGGACACCCGGAGUCGAGUGCCAGCGGACACCAGGAGGGGAAGACGAGCGCCGGCCCACGUCCCUCUCCCCAGACCAGACCCCAUCAGAGGAUUUUGUAGAAAGCAUCUGGCAGCCCUGGUGUCUGACAGUGAAAACAACAGCGUCGGCUAGCAGGUGUCCCCUUUACGCCGUGGCUGCCAGGAAACUUGGAAACGGGUUCAGUGUCCUAGUGGUGUCAGCCAGCUCAUCUCGGUCCCAGGUCAGACAUCCAUCUCUUCUGCUGUUUAUUCUGGUGUUUAUCCAGUUGUUGGCUUUAAAAUUAAGUUCCCAGUCUACUUAAGCAUCUCUGCAGUUCAAAGCACUAACUGUGGGCAGAGACGCCCACCUGGCAAAAAGCCUACACUUACCAAUCUAACGGGAGACCCGAGUGUCCCUUUCACUGUGCCGAUCGGUUGGAGGCCGGAUCUUGGGAUUUUGCGAACGGCUUUUGAUUGUUGAAACACAAGUCACUGAUGGUUGGACAGCAUCAGCGCCAGGCGGAGAAGGCAAUGGCACCCCACUCCAGUACUCUUGCUUGGAAAAUCCCAUGGAUGGAGGAGCCUGGUGGGCUACAGUCCAUGCGGUCGCUGAGAGUCGGACACGACUGAGCGACUUCACUUUCACUUUUCACUCUUAUGCACUGGAGAAGGAAAUGGCAACCCACUCCAGUGUUUUUGCAGCACCAGGAGGUGAAGGCUCAUUCUGGGGUAGGAAGGAAGACAACUCUGCACCUCCCAGUGCAAAAAAGGCUGCCAAGUUAACAAAAGUCAGGUAUUGUCACUUUCGUGACUACAUUUGUACUCACAGACUGAGACUGAGGGACAUUUGAGUUAUAUCCAAAAUACACGAGAAAAUGACGAGUGAAAUUGUGCAGAGUCCAAGGGGCGAAGUGAUUGACUGUAACCUAGAAUUUGGACAGGAGGUGACAUUUACAUUGAAGAAUAGGCCCCCAUAAGCUAAGGAGGGAAGACUGUAUGCAACAGUCUAAAGGGAGAAGGCAGAUGGCAUUUCAGGCUGCCUGAGUUUGUGCAUGCAUGUGUGCUAAGUCCCUGACUCUUUGCCACCCUAUGGACUGUAGCCCGCCAGGCUCCUCCAUCCAUGGGAUUCUCCAGGCAGGAAUACUGGAGUGGGUUGCCAUCCUCUUCUCCAGGGGAUCUUCCUAAUCCAGGAACCAAACCUGCAUCUUUUAUGUCUCCUGCAUUGGCAGGUGGGUUCUCUACUACUAGCGCCAUCUGGGAAACCCUUGUGUUUAUUUAAUAUUGAAAUGGUAAGUAAGGUGAAAGGAAUGUAGUCUCUGACUUGGGAUGUUCACAACUUCUGAUUUAAAAAAGGCAAAAAUAAUUUAAAAAUAAACUAUUAGUAUAAGGAUAUAUUGUACA